rnacentral:lncRNA from 1 species
GGCCGAUCUAGAGACAAAGCGGUUUAGCGAAGCGACCUUACUAGUGAGAUACUGUACAUCUUUAACAGUUCUUGGUGGUGUCAUCUCAAGAACUGUCUUGAUCUUCUUGGAAUUUGCCUCGAUGUCUCUUUGUGAGACCAUAAAUUCGAGAAAUUUAUCGAAGAUAACUCUGAAAUCGCACUUUGCUGGGCUCACCUCAUUUGGA